GGAAUAUUGCACAAUGGGCGCAAGCCUGAUGCAGCAACGCCGCGUGGGGGAUGACGGCCUUCGGGUUGUAAACCUCUUUUAGCAGGGAAGAAGCGAAAGUGACGGUACCUGCAGAAAAAGCGCCGGCUAACUACGUGCCAGCAGCCGCGGUAAUACGUAGGGCGCAAGCGUUGUCCGGAAUUAUUGGGCGUAAAGAGCUCGUAGGCGGUUGGUCGCGUCUGCUGUGAAAACCCGAGGCUCAACCUCGGGCCUGCAGUGGGUACGGGCCAACUAGAGUGCGGUAGGGGAGAUCGGAAUUCCUGGUGUAGCGGUGGAAUGCGCAGAUAUCAGGAGGAACACCAAUGGCGAAGGCAGAUCUCUGGGCCGUAACUGACGCUGAGGAGCGAAAGCGUGGGGAGCGAACAGGAUUAGAUACCCUGGUAGUCCACGCCGUAAACGGUGGGAACUAGUUGUAGGGGCCAUUCCACGGCUUCUGUGACGAAGCUAACGCAUUAAGUUCCCCGCCUGGGGAGUACGGUCGCAAGACUAAAACUCAAAGGAAUUGACGG
rnacentral:rRNA from 1 species